GCAAAUUGACACCGUAACUUCGGAAGAAGGUGUGCCUUUAGUAGGUGAACCCGUACAGGGGAAGCCCAAUGAGGCCGCAGAGAAUCGGUGGCUGCAACUGUUUAUUAAAAACACAGCACUCUGCAAAGACGAAAGUCGACGUAUAGGGUGUGACUCCUGCCCGGUGCUGGAAGAUUAAAUGAUGGGGUGCAAGCUCUUGAUUGAAGUCCCAGUAAACGGCGGCCGUAACGAUAACGGUCCUAAGGUAGCGAAAUUCCUUGUCGGGUAAGUUCCGACCUGCACGAAUGGAGUAAUGAUGGCCACACUGUCUCCUCCAGAGACUCAGCGAAGUUGAAAUGUUUGUGAUGAUGCAAUCUCCCCGCGGAAAGACGGAAAGACCCCAUGAACCUUUACUGUAGCUUUACAUUGGACUUUGAACAGAUCUGUGUAGGAUAGGUGGGAGGCUUUGAAGCGGUGCCGCUAGGUAUCGUGGAGCCAACGUUGAAAUACCACCCUGGUGUGUUUGAGGUUCUAACCUUGGCCCGUUAUCCGGGUUGGGGACAGUGUAUGGUGGGCAGUUUGACUGGGGCGGUCUCCUCCCAAAGUGUAACGGAGGAGUUCGAAGGUACGCUAGGCACGGUCGGAAAUCGUGCUGAUAGUGCAUAGGCAUAAGCGUGCUUGACUGCGAGACUGACAAGUCGAGCAGGUACGAAAGUAGGACUAAGUGAUCCGGUGGUUCUGUAUGGAAGGGCCAUCGCUCAAUGGAUAAAAGGUACUCUGGGGAUAACAGGCUGAUACCGCCCAAGAGUUCAUAUCGACGGCGGUGUUUGGCACCUCGAUGUCGGCUCAUCUCAUCCUGGGGCUGUAGCCGGUCCCAAGGGUAUGGCUGUUCGCCAUUUAAAGAGGUACGUGAGCUGGGUUUAAAACGUCGUGAGACAGUUUGGUCCCUAUCUUCCGUGGGCGCUGCAAGAUUGAGAGAGCCUGCUCCUAGUACGAGAGGACCGGAGUGGACGCACCUCUGGUGUAUCGGUUGUCACGCCAGUGGCAUUGCCGAGUAGCUAAGUGCGGAAGAGAUAACCGCUGAAAGCAUCUAAGCGGGAAACUCGUCUCAAGAUGAGUCUUGCCGGGGCCUUGAGCCCCCUGAAGAGUCGUUCGAGACCAGGACGUUGAUAGGUCGGGUGUGGAAGCGCAGUAAUGCGUUAAGCUAACCGAUACUAAUUGCUCGUGAGGCUUGACCCU
rnacentral:rRNA from 1 species